rnacentral:lncRNA from 1 species
UCUAUUGAGCACCUACGUACUUGUCUUGAUGUCACACACACCAAUGACUCGAGACUAGUCACUCUCCCUAAAAGAAGACACAGCACGUACUGAUCUUAACGGACUGUCAAUGCCCAAUUGGCAAUCCUAUGAUCAGGAACGUUUAGGAUGUGUCUGCGAAAGAAUGGUCUUAUGAAUCUAACUUCUUUAGAUUACAUUCUCCCAAUCACAUAUUCCUUGGACUUUAUCGUUUAAGCGUAUAACAUUUAUAUGAGACGACUCAAACAAUAAUCUUUUCCCUUGAUAUUAAACUAGAUUAGUUUAACAUGUGAAAUGUCCGUAAAGUAUCAUCAUAUGAUUGGUUUUAGGGUACAUUUCUAACAUAUGUGAGUCCUAGUCUACAUGUUUACAUCGAUCUUCUCACAUAUACUUAGUAUAAGGAGUGUAGUCAGAAAAUCUGUGUGAAAAUAGAGCGUAUAUCCGAUGAGGAAUUGAGUGAAAUCUCUAAGGCAUGUUACUAUUUCAAAUGUUGUUUUAAUUGAUUAAAUGCAAGCUAGUGAGUGGUUACUAUGGUUAAGUAUAAGCUCAAGAGUAAGGAUGGCUAAAAUCUAUGUGAGUAGUGAUUUUUAAUAUGUCGUGUUUCAUUGGAAAUCCCUAAGGUACUUGUUGGAAGGUUUAGGUUAUGUUUUGUUUGUUUUGUUUUGCUCGGGGUCUAGCAAAAAGAUAAGUAUGGGGGAAUUUGAUAGGAGCAUAUUUAUGCGACUUUGUUAGCCUAUUUAUUUGCAUUUACUUAGUUAGUUUCUAUUUAUAAGAGUGUUUUAAGCUAUUUUCGUGUGUUUGUAGGUCCAAUUGGCAAAGGUGAUAAGAAAUGGCAAUUUGGAGCAUUUUGGAGUGAUAGGAGCAUAUUUAUGCAACUUAGUUAGCUUGUUUUCUUGUAUUUAUGUUGCUAGUUCAUAGUUAUUUUAGUAUUUUAAGUCAUUUUCGUGCAAUUUCAGGUUCUAAGGACAAAGUAUGCAAAAAGGUGCAUUUUGGAGCCUUUUGGAGCAGUCUUGGGCAUGAAUUGAAUAGCUUAUGCUUGGAGCAAUGUAGAUGGAUGAAAUUGAAGACCACAGUAUGCUAGGAAUCAGCUAAAGAGAGGAAGAAAAAUUAAUUCAAGUCAAGGAAGGAAGAGGAAUCCAAGAAGAAGAAGGAUUGUCAAGUCAAAGUUUCCUAAUCCUAAUCUACAAAGGUUUCAGCCAUAAUUAAGGUUCCUAGUCAAUUUGGGACACUUAAAUCUCAGUCCAAGGGAAUGCCGCACCUCUCCUUUCCCUUUCCCUUUCCUUGCCGCGCAAGGGACAACUUUCCCCUUCUCUGCCGCACAUCCCUUUCCUAUUUCGUAUUAAUUUUUUAUUGUUACUUAUCCUUUUUGAUUUUGGAACUAUAAUAGCUAAGUUUUAAUUCUUUCUUAAACCAAGCCAUGUCCAUUCACCCUAUAAAUAUAAUCCCUUUCUUUGCCGCAAUCAUCCAUCAUUCACUACCAUAAUCCACCCAUCCACCCUUCACCAUAACUCACCUAUAUCCAUCCACACUUAUAAUGUACCACUCAUCCAUCAUCCCACACCUUGUGCUGCAUCAAAGAAGAAGAAGGAGGAUACUUGGACGUGUUUGCCUUCAAGAUUGGAUUGUUGGAGCGUUUUUAGGUGUUUUCAUUCUUUGUUUUCAAUGUUUAAGUUUAAUUAUCUUUGUUUUGUGAACAUGAGGAGCUAAACUCGUUUUAGCUAGGGGGAAAUUCAAAACCAUGAACACAUUUGCAAUAUGAAUUGAUUACUUCCAGUUGUAAUUCUAUAAAUCGUGAAUGCAAUUUACUUAACUGUAUGAUUCAAAACUUAUUCUUGCAUGUUGAUUAAGGAGGCCUACUAAGUUUUCAUUUUUGAAUUUGAUGCUAGAAUACAAGGGAGUUUCACCUAAUCGUUAUGAACUUGUAUUCAUAAGUAGUGAAGGUUGCUAGUCACAAUCGUGUUAAGUGAAUUCCUGGCAUAAGUAUCAUGCGUUUUCAUAGUUACGAGUGCCUUGUCAAUACUUAUGAUUUUCAUAGAACUUAAUGAUCUUUGUUUGUAUCUCUAUUAUGCGCUUUCAUGUAGGGAACUUUUGAAGAAUAAUUUGAUUGCGAUGUGCUAUUUUCGUCCAAUUCAAUGACAUAAGGAAAAUCUGAGGGUUAAUUUAAGCGUACCUAAUUAAUCUGGGGUGUUGAGGUUCAUGGUUCAUUGGAAAAGCAACUGGAGAUCGAUUUUUAUGCAAGUGUGUCAUGUUUGGAGAAGAACCCUCUAGCUAGCCCAUUAUCCAUCCAAUUUACCCAAUUUCGUCCAAAAUCUGUCUUAAGUUUUUAGUUACUUGUUUUUACUUUAUUUUCGUCCAAAACCAAUUCCCCUUUACUUUGUUGAGUUAAAUGAGUUAGAAUCGAUUUUAGUUUGUGUUUUAAAGUGUUUUGAGUCAAGUAAAAGUCAAUUUUUGUCCAAAGUCAUUCUUAGUGUCUAGUUUGAGUCUAUUUGGUUGUUUUAGCUGUUUUGAGUAUUUCAAGUUUGUUUUGAGUCUUGUGAGUCUUGUUAAGUGUUUUUAAGUUUAUUUUUGUGUUUUUAAGUCAGUUUAGAGUAGAUUAGCAAUCCCUCCUAAUCCCCGGUCCAGAACGAUCCCUACUUAUAUAUAUACUACAAUUGUCAAAAGAGGGUUUUAAUUUGUGUGUUAAGUUAAUUUUUGCAUCAUGGAGUAUUUUUGAAUUUGGAAUGGAUAGCAUACGCAUGUGAUUGGAGCAUAUUUAUGUGACUUAGUUAGCUUGUUCUUAUGCAUUUAUGUUGUUAUUUCUUAGUUAAAUUAGUACUUUAAGCCAAUUUUGUGUGUUUGUAGGUCCAAAGGAUUAAAGAAGCAAAGAAGUGCAUUUUGGAGCUUUUUGGAGCAACUUUGGGCUUGGAAUAAAUAUCACAUGCUUGGAGCUAAAGGAAUGGAUGAAAUUGAAGACUUAAAGAUGUAUGGAUUCCUAAUUGAAAGAGGAUUCCUAGAAGAAUGAGGAUUCCUACUUGAAGUAGGAGAGUUAAGCCAAGGUUUCCUAUUUUGGUUUGACCUUUCCUAAUCCUAAAUGUCCCUAAGUUCCAGCAACAUUGAAGGUCUCCUAUGCACUUUAGGACACAAACCAAAGGGUCCUUGCACCAUACAAGGCCUUGCCGCACCUUGUCUCCCUUUCCUCUUCCUUACCGUGCAAGGGAGCCAUCUCUUUCCUAUUUUCUGCCAUAAAUCACAUUCCCUUUUCAAUUAAAAGCCUUUCCCUUUCCUAUUUCCCUUCAGCCACACCUCCCUUACCUUUUCCUUAGGAUUUUCACUUUAAUUCCUAUUUCCCUUUAUGUUUUGGUUUAAUUUCUGUUACCUAAAUUAUUUCCUAGCCUUAAAUACCCUAAAGUCUUUAAAUAAACACCCUAGCCGUGUGAAUCAUUCACCAUUCAUCAUCAUCCACUUCCUUACACCCUAGCCGCAUCUAUACACCAUCAGAAACCAUACACAACAUCCUUGUCGCAGCCUUCCAUACAUCCAAAACACCACCAUACCUUUUCCCAUCCAUUCCUCCAUACAAACCACCACUCAAACCUUCACCCAACCCUUGUGCCGCAACAAAGAGAAGAAGGAGGACCUUUGGACGUGCUUGCCAUUCAAGUUGGAUUGCUGGAGCAUUUUUAGGUGUUUUCAUUCUUUGUUUUCAAUGUCUAAAUUUAUGUAUCUUUGUUUUGCGAUUAUGAGGAACUAAGCCCUUCUUUGUUUUGCUUAACCAUUUGAAGCUAAAAUAUAAGGGAGUUUCACCUAAUAGUUACAAACUUAUAUUUCCAAGUAGUGGAGGUUGCUUAUAAAUGAUCGUGUUAAGUGAAUUCUUGGUAGGGGUAUCAUGCUCAUCACAGUUACGAAUGCCUCUUCAAUACUUAUAGUUUUCAUGAAGCUUAAUGAUCUUUGAUUGUACCUUUAUUGUGCUUUUCACGUAGGGGACUUUUGGAGAAUGUUUUGAAUUGUUGUAUAUGAUUUCCCAUCCAAUUCAAUAACUUAAGGAGAACUUGAAGGUUAAAAAAAGUGCUGUCACGGUUAACCUGGGGUAUUGAGUUUCAUGGUCUAUUGAAAGAAACAAUUGGAAAUCAAUUUGAAUGCAAGUGUGUCAUGUGUGUAGAAGAACCCUCUAGCUAGCCCAUCAUCCCCCUAAUUCAACCAAUUUCGUGCAAAUCUGUCUAGUUCUAGUUCUUGCUUUGUUUUACUUUAUUUUCGUCCAAAACCAAAUCCCCCUUUACUUUGUUGAGUCAUAUUAGUUAGAACUUGUUUUAGAUUGUGUUUUUAAGUGUUUUGAAUCAAUAUAAAACCAAAAUUCGUCCAAAAAGUGUGUUAGAGUAAAAAACUGCCUAGUUGAUGUUUUUAGGCAGUUUUGAAUCUUUUCAGUUUGUUUUGAGUUCUUUGAGUCUAGUUAAGUGUUUUUAACCUAGUUUUAUAUAUUUGAGUCAGUUUAGAGUAUUUUAGCAAUCCCUCAUAAUCCCCGGUUUAAGAACGAUCCCUACUUAUCCAUACUACAAUUGUCAACAAGAGGGUUUAAUUUGCGUGUUAAGCUAAUUUUCGCAUCAGCAUGGAACAGGUUGGAUGGACGUUUUUGAAGUUAAAAGAGGCUAGGAAUGUGCUACACAUCUGGAGAAAUUAAAUAAAGACUUGGAAGAUAAAGAAUCAGCUAAGAAGAAGGAAACCUUAUCUAACCUUAUCUUAUCCAACCUUAUCUUAUCAUAUCCUAAUCUUAUCCUACCUUAUUUCCAGCUCCAAGGGGGACUCAUUUUCAUAUUAAACCACAUGUUAUCUGGUUCUAGAAGCCUUAAGAUUGUGCUGAACCACCCUAUCCAUUUCCCCCUAGGAAUUUGCCGCACCUAGUCCUUUUCCUUCAUGGAGUGGGUUGUGUUGUGCCUAUCCUUCUCCUCUACAACUUUGGGCCACGCCAGCCUAUAUAUAUGCACGAUAUAUGCCGCACCAAAGGAAGGAGAGAGAGCUUUAGAGAGAAAUUCAUAAUAAAAAAAAUAUAAAGAGUGCUGCAGCUUUGCAAGGAAGGAAGGAGAAUAAGAACUUUGUGCCGUGCCUUCCAUACAAGGCCAUUGGAGUGCUGGAGCAUUGUUGGGUUCUUUCUAUCCUUAGUUGAUAGGAGCAUAUUUAUGCGACUCAAUUAGCUUGUUUCCUUGCAUUUACAUUGCUAGUACUUAGUAAUUUUAGUAUUUUAAGCUAUUUUCGUGCAAUUUCAGGUUUUAAGGACAAAGUAUGCAAACAUGUGCAUUUUGGAGCCUUUUGGAGCAGUUUUGGGCAUGGAAUGGAUAGCUUAUGCUUGGAGCAAGGUGGAUGGACGAAAUUGAAGAUCAAAGGAGGCUAGGAAUGAAUAAUGAAAUGAAGAAAUGAAAAUGAAGAACAAAGAGUUCAGAAUUGGAAACCAAAGUUUCUAUUCUUGGAGGUUUCCAUUCUUGAAAGUUUCUAUUCUUGGCUUGGAAGUUUCCUAAUCCUUCCUCACCUAUGUUUCAGCCACAAAAGGGUUUCAAAACAUGUUAGGUUGCCUAAUUACAUAUUUCUAGGCAUUGCCACACCUUUCUCUCCUUUCUUACCUAUUUUCUGACCCAAAAUUGCAUUCCCUUUUGUUUCAAUUCUUGCUGCACAAGGGGAGAGGAUUCUUACCUAUUUUGUGCCUCAAAACACAUUCCUAAAUUUGUCCUACACUCUCUUCCAAAUUUCCUUUCCUAUUCUCUUUAAUUCCUGCACCUUUCUUGCCUAUUUUCCAUUGAUUUAUGAUUCCAAAUUUAAUAAAUUCGUAGCCCUUCCUUUCCCUAUAAAUAAGACCCCUUUCUGACCAUUCUAAGCACUCCACCCUUCACCAUAACCAACCUAUAUCCAUUCACCACCACAAAUCACCACAAAAACCUUCACCCAUCCCUUGUGCCGCAACAAAGAAGAAGGAAGGAGACCCUUGGACGUGCUUGCCAUUCAAGACGUUGGAUUGUUAGAGCGUUUCUAGGUGUUUUCAUUCUUUGUUUUUAAUGUCUAAAUUUAUGUAUCUUUGUUUUGUGGACAUGAGGAACUAAGCCCUUCUUGGGUAGGGGGCUAUUCAAAACCAUGAUUAUAUUUGCAUUAUGAAUUGAUUACCUUCAGUUGUUAUUUCAUAAGUUGUGAUUCAAUUUGCUUAACUGUUUGAUUGAUAACUUAUUCUUGUAUGUUUAUUAAGAGUGCACACUUAGUUUUCAUGCAAGGAUUUGAAGCUAAAAUAUAAGGGAGUUUCACCUAAUAGUUACAAACUUAUAUUUGCAAGUAGUGGAGGUUGCUUAUAAACGAUCGUGUUAAGUGAAUUCUUGGCAAAAGUUUCAUGCUUUUCAUAGUAACAAUUGCCUCGUCAAUGUUAUA